rnacentral:rRNA from 1 species
UACGGGGGGAGCAAGCGUUGUUCGGAUUUACUGGGCGUAAAGGGCGCGUAGGCGGCCACCGCAAGUCGACUGUGAAAUCUCCGGGCUUAACCCGGAAAGGUCAGCCGAUACUGCGGGGCUAGAGUGCGGAAGGGGCAACUGGAAUUCUUGGUGUAGCGGUGAAAUGCGUAGAUAUCAAGAGGAACACCUGCGGCGAAGGCGGGUUGCUGGGCCGACACUGACGCUGAGGAGCGAAAGCAUGGGGAGCGAACAGG